rnacentral:rRNA from 1 species
UACGGGGGGGGCAAGCGUUGUUCGGAAUUACUGGGCGUAAAGGGUUCGUAGGUGGCCAACUAAGUCAGACGUGAAAUCCCUCAGCUCAACUGGGGAACUGCGUCUGAUACUGAUUGGCUUGAGUGCAGGAGAGGAACGCGGAAUUCCAGGUGUAGCGGUGAAAUGCGUAGAUAUCUGGAGGAACACCGGUGGCGAAGGCGGCGUUCUGGACUGCAACUGACACUGAAAAACGAAAGCCAGGGGAGCAAACGGG